rnacentral:misc_RNA from 1 species
UUUCCGUAGGUGAACCUGCGGAAGGAUCAUCUAUAAAAAAUAAAAUUCAAAAAUACACAAAACAACACUUUUCUUUCUUUUUUGGAAAGAAAAGUAAAAUUCUGUUUUAUUUUAUUUUUUAUUUUUUUUCUUUUUUUCUUUUGCAAAAGAGAAAGAAGAAGAAGAAGAAAAAAAGGGGGGAGAAAGGUGUGAGAGCCGUAAAAAAUCCUCCCCCCAUAUCCUAUUUUUUUUUUUUUUUUUUUUUUUUUUUGUGAAAAAAAAGAAAAAAAAAAAAAAAAUAAAAAAAAAAAAAAGGGGAGAAAGAGGGGAAAAGACUGAAAAAGCACUCCCCAAAUAAUCAAGUUUUUUUUGUAUUUUUUUUUUUUUUUGUGAAAAAAAAAAAGAAAAGAAAUAAAUUUAAAAAAAAAAAAAAAAAACAAAACACCUAAUGUUUUUAAAAAAAAUUGAUCUUAAAAAAUUCUUUUUUUUUAUUAUUUAUAAUAAAAAAUAUUUUUUAAAAAAAAGAAGACAACUUUUAACAAUGGAUCUCUUGGCUCUC